AUCGAACGCUGGCGGCAGGCUUAACACAUGCAAGUCGAACGAGUGGCGGACGGGCGAGUAAUGCUUGGGAAUCUAGCUUAUGGAGGGGGAUAACUACGGGAAACUGUAGCUAAUACCGCGUACCAUAGGAUGAGCCCAAGUGGGAUUAGGUAGUUGGUGGGGUAAAGGCUCACCAAGCCGACGCUCCCUAGCUGGUCUGAGAGGAUGACCGGCCACACUGGGACUGAGACACGGCCCAGACUCCUACGGGAGGCAGCAGUGGGGAAUAUUGCGCAAUGGGGGCAACCUGACGCAGCCAUGCCGCGUGAAUGAAGAAGGCCUUCGGGUUGUAAAAUUCUGUCGGUAGCGAGGCGUUAUCUACAGAGAAAGCCCCGGCUAACUCCGUGCCAGCAGCCGCGGUAAUAC
rnacentral:rRNA from 1 species